rnacentral:lncRNA from 1 species
GUUACAACAUAACCAUUCCCAUAUAUGCCUUUUAAAAAGAAAAAAGGAACCAAAACUAAAUUGAAUAUUACACUCAUAAAAGAUGUCCCAUAUGAAUGUAACACAUGACGGGUGUAGCAGAUACGUCCAGGUCUGUUGGGAUGGGACGCGAUUCUGGUGGGUGCUGGCUGCUGGAUCUCGUUGCCAGGGGGCUGAUGUGGGCGGUGAUGGCUGCUGGCGUGACUGUUCUGGCUGGCCUAGUGGUACUGAGAGGUGAUGGCAGGUGGGGUGCGGCGUUGCUGAGGUACUGAUGGAAGCAACACAGAAAUUGGUCUAGGGUGGAGAGGUUGUUUUGAAAGUGGGUUAGGGAUGGGAUGAUUUUUUUUUUUUUUUUUUUUUGUAAAAUGAAAAUUAUAAAAAUAUCCUAUUACUAAACCACUAUUGUAACUAAAACAUGAGAGUCAAUUUUG